AAGGUCCACAAUUAUAUCAGGUAUUUCCAUUUAUCCUGUGUGGAUUUGCAACUUUUUAUGUUCACUUUGUUAAACUUCAAGCCGGUUGAGACAAGAGACAUUCUCUGACCAUGAUGGAAAUUACCUUCCUAAUGUGGUCUCUUGAGAAUCAGUUUGAACCUCUUUCUUGAACUUAGAUUUGUUGCGGGUAAUGCUCUGUUUAAAUGUAAUGUACAGAGUAUGGAUAAACAACCUAAUCACAAGUACUAGGUCUUCAGUAGCUCUCUUGUUUGGACUGAAUCACCCUUUAGUAUGUGUUUAUCUGGAGAAGAAAAAUAAUUGCACUGCUAAAACCAGAAAAUCCUGACUAAGGUCAAGCUAACACUAUUUGGUAAAUACAGCCUGCAGCAUUUUGUUCUCUCUAAUUGAACUUACUACUAUGAAGAUCUACCUUAAACAGUUGAAAUUAUGAUUUGCUUGAUUAUGUCUCAUUUUGCUGUAGGUGGAUCCAUCAGGUUCAUAUU
rnacentral:misc_RNA from 1 species